CAUUUUAAAAGUGCCCGGACUUUUGUUCUUUCUUAUCACAAAUGACUUGGGAAGCUCCGACCACUCAUGUUUACCCCGAGUGAAAGUCCCAUUCAAAGCCUUGCUUCCUGGAGAGCUUUGAGAUUCUGGUACAAAAGGCAUUUUAUAAGCACAAAGUGGAAAAGCAUCAUUCAUAUUCAUUUGCUGCUGCGGCAUUUCUCCCUGGAAUCUUCCUCUUGUCUGUCAACAUUGGGCAAAAGGACUGGCCUCAUCUACAUUACAGAUAUCCUUGUGAUGGUCUGGAGGGACCUGUGGGAGAGGCGGCCAUCCAGAGGGCUCUCUGAGGGGUCAUUUAGAAUGCAACUCUUCUGGGCAGAGGAUGGUCUGCACUGGCCUCCACCACGCAGGAAGGCUUCCAGAGUGGAGAAAUGUCCACUAACAUGGCUUCUGUGAGGUAUCAUUCUGAUCAUUGUUGUUACAGGAGAGAUGAGAGGAAGUUAGAGGGGCUAGAAGAACCAGGAGACCUGUUGAAAAUCAUGAAUACAAAGAGAGGUCGUUUGCUUCUGUGCUUCAAUUCUAUAAUAAAAUGAGUACAAUGUC
rnacentral:lncRNA from 1 species